CUUUGUGGCGUAUUCGGUGUGAUACAUCUUCACCGGAGUUGAUCCUUUUGGGUCGCGUCUGUAUUAGUGUGGCUCUAUGCUUCCAACCGUCCUUGACAGGGACAAAUCCCUUGACAAUUUGACCUCAAAUCGGGUGGGACUACCCGCUGAACUUAAGCAUAUCAAUAAGCGGAGGAAAAGAAACUAACAAGGAUUCCCCUAGUAACGGCGAGUGAAGAGGGAAAAGCUCAAAUUUUGAAUCUGGUGUCUUUGACUCCCGAGUUGUAAUCUAGAGAAGUGUUUUCUGUGUCGGACCGUGCACAAGUUCCCUGGAAUGGGGCGUCAUAGAGGGUGAGAAUCCCGUAUAUGGCAUGGACUGCCGAUGCUCUGUGAUACACUCUCAACGAGUCGAGUUGUUUGGUAAUGCCCCUCAAAAUGGGUGGUAAAUUCCAUCUAAAGCUAAAUAUUGGCGAGAGACCGAUAGCGAA
rnacentral:rRNA from 1 species